rnacentral:rRNA from 1 species
GACGAACGCUGGCGGCGUGCUUAACACAUGCAAGUCGAACGGAAAGGCCCUGCUUUUGUGGGGUGCUCGAGUGGCGAACGGGUGAGUAACACGUGAGUAACCUGCCCUUGACUUUGGGAUAACUUCAGGAAACUGGGGCUAAUACCGGAUAGGAGCUCCUGCUGCAUGGUGGGGGUUGGAAAGUUUCGGCGGUUGGGGAUGGACUCGCGGCUUAUCAGCUUGUUGGUGGGGUAGUGGCUUACCAAGGCUUUGACGGGUAGCCGGCCUGAGAGGGUGGCCGGCCACAUUGGGACUGAGGUACGGCCCAGACUCCUACGGGAGGCAGCAGUGGGGAAUAUUGCACAAUGGGCGGAAGCCUGAUGCAGCAGCGCCGCGUGCGGGAUGACGUCCUUCGGGUUGUAAACCGCUUUCGCCUGUGACGAAGCGUGAAUGACGGUAAUGGGUAAAGAAGCACCGGCUAACUACGUG